rnacentral:rRNA from 1 species
AUUGAACGCUGGCGGAAUGCUUUACACAUGCAAGUCGAACGGCAGCACGGGGGCAACCCUGGUGGCGAGUGGCGAACGGGUGAGUAAUACAUCGGAACGUGCCCAGUCGUGGGGGAUAACGUAGCGAAAGUUACGCUAAUACCGCAUACGAUCUACAGAUGAAAGCGGGGGACCGUAAGGCCUCGCGCGAUUGGAGCGGCCGAUGUCAGAUUUGGUAGUUGGUGAGGUAAAGGCUCACCAAGCCGACGAUCUGUAGCUGGUCUGAGAGGACGACCAGCCACACCGGGACUGAGACACGGCCCAGACUCCUACGGGAGGCAGCAGUGGGGAAUUUUGGACAAUGGGCGCAAGCCUGAUCCAGCCAUUCCGCGUGCAGGACGAAGGCCUUCGGGUUGUAAACUGCUUUUGUACGGAACGAAAAGGCUCUGGUUAAUACCUGGGGCUCAUGACGGUACCGUAAGAAUAAGCACCGGCUAACUACGUGCCAGCCGCCGCAGUAA